UUUCUUCCAGGGCCUCUGGCCCUUGGUUCUUACAAUGGUUUGCCCUCUGAUCAUAUGGAUCUUGCCAGACAGCUGAUGGAGACCUGCUACCAAAUGUAUGUCCAGAUGGAAACAGGCCUCAGUCCUGAGAUUGUCUAUUUUAACAUGCAUCAAGGCAGCACCAGAGACAUUGAUGUGAAGAUAGACACAAACUUCUGCGACCGGAGACUGUAGAGAGUCUCUUCUACCUAUACAGGUUCACAAAGGACCACAAGUACCAGGAUUGGGGCUGGGAGAUUCUCCAAAACUUUAACAGAUACUCCAAGGUUUCCUCAGGUGGCUACACCUCCAUCAACAAUGUGCGCGACCCGGACUACCCGAACCCUCGAGACAAGAUGGACAGCUUCUUCCUGGGGGAGACCCUGAAAUAUUUCUAUCUGCUUUUCUCAGAUGACCCCAACUUCAUCAGCCUGGACCAGUUUGUCUUCAACACAGAGGCACACCCCCUACCUAUAUGGCCUUCCGCUGUGUGACACAAAUGCAAACAGUGCAAACUUCUCAGGGCUGGA